AACGUGCGUUGCCUUGUCGCUUCAGUAAUGAAGAGGAAAGUCCGAGCAUCACAGAGCGUCACACUUCCUAACGGGAAGGCACUCAGCAAUGGGUGACAGAAAGUGCAACAGAAAGUAAACCGCCUUCGGGUAAGGGUGAAAUGGUGAGGUAAGAGCUCACCGCGUUGGUGGCAACACGAACGGCAUGGUAAACCUUGUGAGAUGAAAGACCAAAUAGGUCUUAUUGUCCUUCGGGAAUGAAGUUGCUCGCUUCAUUGUCUUCACAGACAGAUAAGAUGGGUAGGUCGAUGGAGCCUGUGAGCGAUUGCAGGCCUAGAUAAAUGACAGGGACCACAUUGCUUGCAAUGGAGGUACAGAACUCGGCUUAUAGACGCACGUUUUUA
rfam:Flammeovirga sp. SJP92 Scaffold5_1, whole genome shotgun sequence.